CUACAGUAGGCAGCAGUGGGGAAUAUUGCACAAUGGGCGCAAGCCUGAUGCAGCCAUGCCGCGUGUAUGAAGAAGGCCUUCGGGUUGUAAAGUACUUUCAGCGAGGAGGAAGGCGAUAAGGUUAAUAACCUUAGCGAUUGACGUUACUCGCAGAAGAAGCACCGGCUAACUCCGUGCCAGCAGCCGCGGUAAUACGGAGGGUGCAAGCGUUAAUCGGAAUUACUGGGCGUAAAGCGCACGCAGGCGGUCUGUUAAGUCAGAUGUGAAAUCCCCGGGCUCAACCUGGGAACUGCAUUUGAAACUGGCAGGCUUGAGUCUUGUAGAGGGGGGUAGAAUUCCAGGUGUAGCGGUGAAAUGCGUAGAGAUCUGGGAGGAAUACCGRUGGCGAAAGGCGGCCCCSUGGACAAAGACUGACGCUCARGUGCRAAAGCGUGGGGAGCAAAACAGGAUUAGAUACCCUGGUAGUYCACGCUGUAAACCGAUGUCGACUUGGAGGUUGUUCCCUUGAGGAGUGGCUUCCGGARCUAAMGCGUUAAGUCGACCGCCUGGGGAGUACGGCCGCAAGGUUAAAACUCAAAUGAAUUGACGGGGGCCCGCACAAGCGGUGGAGCAUGUGGUUUAAUUCGAUGCAACGCGAAGAACCUUACCUACUCUUGACAUCCAGAGAACUUAGCAGAGAUGCUUUGGUGCCUUCGGGAACUCUGAGACAGGUGCUGCAUGGCUGUCGUCAGCUCGUGUUGUGAAAUGUUGGGUUAAGUCCCGCAACGAGCGCAACCCUUAUCCUUUGUUGCCAGCGAUUCGGUCGGGAACUCAAAGGAGACUGCCAGUGAUAAACUGGAGGAAGGUGGGGAUGACGUCAAGUCAUCAUGGCCCU
rnacentral:rRNA from 1 species